UACGUAGGGGGCAAGCGUUGUCCGGAGUUACUGGGCGUAAAGCGCACGCAGGCGGUCUCUUAAGUUUGGAGUGACAGUUGGUGGCUUAACUGCCAAAGUGCUUCGAAAACUGAGAGACUUGAGGGCUUCAGAGGGACACGGAAUUCCGGGUGGAGUGGUGGAAAUGCGUAGAGAUCCGGAGGAACACCAAAGGCGAAGGCAGUGUCCUGGGGAGUACCUGACGCUCAGGUGCGAAAGCCAGGGGAGCGAACGGG
rnacentral:rRNA from 1 species